ACGCUUGGCGAUGACAAUACUUGCAGGUUCUGGACGGAUCACUGGCUCCACGGCCAAUCCAUUGCCGAAAUUGCUCCCACCCUCGUGGCCUUGGUUCCACGUAGAAGGAAGCGCACGCGCCUUGUCUGCGACGGACUGCGCAACCAGGGUUGGAUAUCAGACAUCGCCGGCGCCAUUGGCCCGCUGGCAACCCUCGAGUAUGUCGACCUUUGGCGCCGCCUGCGGCUGGUUUCACUCUCACCCGCUCCGGACGCACUCUCUUGGCGUUGGUCCGCGACGGGAGUUUACACUGCCAGCUCCUGUUACUCCGCUAUGUUCGUUGGAUCGACUACCGCACCCUUUCGGAAGCUGUUCUGGCGUAGCUGCGCACCGCUCAACGUCAAGUUUUUCCUGUGGCUAGCUUCUCAAAACCAAUAUUUUAAAUAG
rnacentral:rRNA from 1 species